UACGUAGGGCGCAAGCGUUGUCCGGAAUUAUUGGGCGUAAAGAGCUCGUAGGCGGUCUGUCACGUCUGCCGUGAAAACCCGAGGCUUAACCUCGUGGCUUGCGGUGGAUACGGGCAGACUAGAGGUAGGUAGGGGAGAACGGAAUUCCCGGUGUAGCGGUGAAAUGCGCAGAUAUCAGGAGGAACACCGGUGGCGAAGGCGGAUCUCUGGGCCUUACCUGACGCUGAGGAGCGAAAGCAUGGGGAGCAAACAGG
rnacentral:rRNA from 1 species